UAUAUUUUGGACAUAUUUCAUGCCAGUAGCAAAAGUAUACUUGGUUCUAUUUGCAUAGUAUUCUGUUGUAAGGAUAUACAUCAUAUUUUAACCAGUCCCAUGUUCAGGACAUUCUGUUUGUUUCCAGCUUUUCCUGGUAUAAACCAGUGAGGACGGCUAUACUGGAACAAAGCAGCAACAUGAAGCCCCAUGUACUUCUCUGUGGCGCGCGUGCUGUGCACAAGGCCGUCCGGUACGACCCGUCCUCCCGGAGUAUAUGGCGGACAAACUGAGGUACUAGGAUGGACGAGUAACUUAACAUUCACUUGGAGCGCAUUCUGGAGCAAACUGAAAGUUUCCGUGUGUAAGACAAUAAAUUGCCUCGUUGAACCCUCACAACAGUCUACAAGGUGCGUCUGAUUGUCCCCGUGUUAGAGAUUGUCUGAGGCCCAGACAGGAAGGUAAGAGCAGGGAGCAGCAGAAUCCUGAGCGCCGGCUUCCACGCUUGCGUGUUCUUCCUGGCGCGCGGCUUCUCAGAGGGAGGCAGGGUACGAGGGAGGGUUAAGGUCAGUUCUGCCCACUCAGGCUGCCUCUGAUUCUCAUCUCUAAGAAGGGCAUAUCACCCAGACUGAAAUACCCACCUUGUUGGGGUUUUGUUUCCUAGGUAGUCGUGUUUCCUUAAGAAAAUGUAUUUGCAGAGUGUGACAGAUGGAACUAGUGUCCGUUCCAGUGGUUUUCUCACUUUUCACACCCCUGUCAUCUCCAGGGAACAUGAAUCUGAUGUGGACCCCCCUCCCCUUCCUCCUGGAGCAAAUGUCUUCACCCCAAGCCUGCCUCUCUCCACACAGCAGACAGACAACCCCAAGUCACGGGUCCUUGGAGGACACCACCGAUCCUGGGAUGUGAUCAUGAGAUUACAGAUUUCUGAGUUUCGCCAUAACGUUCAUGCUGUUCAUGCUGCUGUUAGUAUCGAACUGGCCACCUUCGGAUUUGCAUUCCAGCACCGCAGGCAGGAAGAAAAGGAAGUAGGGUACCUACGGAGCUCGUACUUAGCUGUCAGCUUGACGGUUCGGCUGUACUGGAAAAGAGUUGAUUUCAUCUUGUAACCCAUCAUACACACCACCCACAUUUUAUUUUAAGUGCGCUCCACGCGCAACGGCCCAGCAUGCUUUACCCACUGAGCCAGCCCGGUGCCCCCACACAAGCCAUUUCUGGAGGAGGUUUUUCUACUCACAAGGCAGCAUCCAUAGAUGACUUCUUUCUUUACCCUGUGGCUCCACCGAAAAGGAGUGGAGGCUUUGAAGCAAGGAAACCCGACUCCAGGGCAUGGACUGACUGGCCAGGUGACCAUGGAGUAAAGUGGUGUGGACAGUUUACCGUCCUGGAAUAAUGGUGACAAAACUGGAUACCCUCUCUGACUUUCAUUUCCCUGUAGUUUAUUGUCUUCCUUUGUGACCCUCAGCUCGCUCUAAAAAUGCUUUCUAGAAAUCUUUAAUGGGCCCUUGUGGUAAGUCCUGUUGGUGCCAAGGAUUUUUGUAGACUCCCAUUUUCAGGAUGGGAAGAUUCCCUUCCCUUCUAUCCUGGUCUCCACCCGUGAAUGGAUUGUGUGUUUUAUUGACUAAUUUUUCUGCAUCUAAUGAUACAGUCAUAUAGUAUUUCUCUCCUCAUCGGUUAAUGGUGUGGGAUUGUAUAAAAUUUCUGAACAGAAGCGACUCCAUCUUGAAGCUGCAUUUUCCUUUUCAACUGAUGAACUCUCGAGCUGGGCCAGAAGUGGCAGUAGUUUUACAAGCAGUUGGUCAUAAAAUUUCAACAGGGCAACUGGCAUUAGGAUCUCGUGAGGACAGUAAAGUUAAUUAAUACAUACCAGGGGCAAUUUCAUUUGAUAGCACCAAUAAAGUAAUCAACAAGGUACUAAUGAGAAGCGGCUCAACCGAUUAGCACCAAAUUACCAGGUUUUUUUUUUUUUCCCCUUCUCUUCUUUAUCUAAAUCACAUAAUUACCCCUUCCUUCUUUUUCAUAAAAACCUCUAGCUCUCCCCACACGAAGGGACACUUUUCUGGUUAUUCUGGAGUCUGUGCUCCCCGAAUUGUAACUCUGGGACCCCAAAUAAAAACCUUUGUUCUUUUUUCAGUUUUGCCUUCUUUUCUUGGUUAACAAUGGAGUGAGUUGCAUUAAUUGAAUUUAGAGUACUAAACCAACUUUGGCAUUAAUCCAUUCCGGUUAUGCUAAAUUAUCUUUUUUUAUAUAUAACUGAAUUGAUUUUGCUAAUAUUUAAGGAUUUCAUUUUCCCUUUAUGUUCAUGAAUGAACUUGGUAUGUGUUAUUGUGAUUUUUUUUAUCUUGUCUGAUUUUGGUAUCCAGGUUAUACGUCAGCCUUCAGAAAUGAGUUGAGGAGUAUUUCUUCUUUUUCUAUUUCCUAUAUUGGAAUUGCGUGUUAUUAUUUACAGAACUCAUCUGUAAGGUUAUCUGGCCUGACAUUUUCUUUGU
ensembl:lncRNA